rnacentral:lncRNA from 1 species
UUUUUUUUUUUUUUUGGAAAUUUCAAACAGUUUUCCAUAGUGGCUACACCAAUAUACAUUCCUACCAACAGUGUAGGAGGAUUCUCUUUUUCCCCACAUCCUUGCCAACAUUUGUUAUUUCUUUUUGAUGAUAGCUAUUCCAACAGAUGUGAGGUGAUAUCACACUGGGGUUUUGAUUUGCAUUUCCCUAAAUAAUUAGUGAUUUUAAAAAUCUUGUAAUGUUGAUCAUCUGUAUAUUAUCUUUGGAAAAAUGAUACUCAAAUAAUGUGCCUGUGUUUUAAUUGGCGAGUUGUUUAGUGAGUUCUAUAUAUAUUUUGUAUAUUAACCCUUUAUUGAAAAUAUGAUUUGCAAAUAUAUUCUCCCAUUCAGGAGGAUAACUUCAUUUUGAUGAUGGUUUCCUUUUGCUGUGCAGAAGCUUAUUUGUUUGAUAUAGUCCUAUUUGCUAAUUGUCGCUUUUGUUUCCCUUGCUUUUGGAGUCAGCUCCGCAAAAACAUUGCUCAGACCAAUUUUAAUGAGGUUACCACCGAUGUUUUCUUCCAUGAAUUUUAUCCCUUCCGGUCUUAAAUUCAGGUCUCCCACAUGACCCAACUAUUGCAUUUCUGGGUAUUUAUCUGAAAAACACAAAAACACUAAUUUGAAAAGACAUGGCACUCUUUAUGUCUAUUACGGAAGUAUUUACAGUGGCCAAGAUGGGGAAACAAUGUAAGCAUCCAUUUGUGGAUGAAUAGUUAAAGAAGAUGUGGUUAAAAUGUACAAUGAAAUACUACUCAGCUGUAAAAAAUAAAGUUCUGACAUGUGGAACAACAUAGAUAAAACUUACAGGUAUAAUGCCAAGUGAAAUAAAUCAAACAGAAAAAAAAUACCAUGUAAUUUCACUCAAAUGUAGAAUUGAAAAAAAAAAUGUGUGGAUACACAGAAGCAAUUAGUGAUUACCAGAAGGGAAGAGAGUCAGGGGCUGAGCAAACUGGAUAAAACCAUGAAAUGUAUGAUUUCAGUUGAGUGUUAAUGUCCCCCACUGUUACUUUGCUAUGGUCAAUUUCUCCUUUUAUGACUGUUAGCAGUUCCCCUAAAUAUUGAGGUACUCCUUGUUGGGUGCAUAUAUAUUUACACUUGUUAUAUCCUCUUCUUGGAUUGAUUCUUUGAUCACUGGGUAAUGUUCUUCUUUGUCUCAUAACAUUCUUUGUUUGAAAAUCUAUUUUGUCUGAUGUGCUACUCCACUUUUCUUUUGAUUUCGAUUUGCAUGGAAUAUCUCCUUUAUCCCCUCACUUUCAGUCUGUACGUGUUCCUAGAUCUGACCUGGGUCUCUUGUAGACAGCAUACGUAUGGGUCCUGUUUUUGUAUCCAUUCAUCCAGUCUAUGUCUUUUGGUUAAAAUAUUUAAUCCAUUGAAUUCCGAGAUAAUUGUCAAUAUGUCUGUACUUAACUGCCAUUUUCUUAAUUGUUUCAGAUUUGUUAUUAUUGGAUUUUUUUUCUUGCCUUCCUCUCGUUCUGUGAUUUGAUGUUGAUUUUUAGUGUUGUACUUGAAUCACUUUUUUUCUUUUUUUUUUUGGUCCAUGCCUGCAGCAUGUGUAAUUUCCUGGGCUGGGGAUCAAACCUGCCUCACAGCAGCCACCCAAGCCACUGCAGUGACAGCACCAGUUCCUUAACCCACUGGACCACAAGAUAACUCCUGCUUUUCCAAGUUUAUGAGUGUGUCUAUUACAGUUUUUUGGUUUGUGAUUCCCAUGAGUUUUUGAUACAGCAUUCUUGUAUAUGCCAGAUUGUUUUAAGUUGCUGUUCUCUUAAAUUUCAAAUGCAUUUUCAAAAAUAUGCAUUUGUCCUCAUCACCUCUUCUCAUGAUUGCUUAUUUUGAUAUCAUGUUUGUGGAUAAUAUCCCAUUUUAAAAAAAUUAAUUCAAUUUAAUUGACUCCACCCAUGCCAUGUGGAAUUUCCUGGACCAGGGAUCAAAUGUGCACUGCAGCUGUGGUUCAUGCCGUAGGUGUGCCCAGGGCUGAGCCAUAAGGUAACUUCCUGAUUUUCCAUUUUAGUUUUUGUUUGCCUUUACUGGUGAGCUUUCCUAUUUCAAUUUUCUUAUUUCUAGUUGUGGUCUCCUCUUUUAAAUCUGAAGAAAUUCCUGUAGCAUUUAUUGUGUAUCUGGUUUGGUGAUGCUGUAUUCUUUUAGCUUUUGCUUGUCUGUAAAGUAUUUGAUUUCUCUGUUGAAUCUGAAUGAGAAGCUUGCUGGCUAGAGUUUUCUGGUUGAAGUUUUUUUCUGGUUCAUCCCUUGAAAUAUAUCAUGCCACUCCCUUUUAGCCUAUAGUGUUUCUGUUUAAAAAUCUGCUGAUACCCUUAUGGGAGUUAUCUUGUAUGUUAUUUGUGCUCUUUUUCUUGUUGCUUUUAAUAUUUUUUCUUUAUUCUUCAUAGUUUGAUAAAUGUGUCUCAGGGUAUUCCUCCUUGGGUUUAUCUUGUAUGGGACUCUUGGUGCUUGUUCCACUUGAGUGAAUGUUUCCUUUCACAUAUCUGGGAAGUUUUCAGCUUUAAUCUCUUCAAAUAUAUUCUCAGGGCCUUUCUUCCUCUGUUCUCCUUCUAGCACCCCCAUGCGAAUGUUGAUAUGUUUAAACCUGUCCCAGAGGACUCUUUAAACAUACCAGUUUAAACCUAGACUGUCCUCAUUUCUUUUCAUUCUUUUAUUUAUUCUGUUUCAUGGCUGUGAUUUUCACUACUAUCUUCUACUUCACUUACUCAUUCUUCCACCUCAGUUACUCUGUUAUUUACUCUUUCUAGCUCAUUUUUUUAAUUUCAGAUAUUGUUCAUUUUUGUUUGCUUACUCUUUAAAUCUUCCAGCAAUUUCGUAAACAUUUUUUAUAACUUUUUAAUCUGUGCAUCCAUUCUUUUUCCAAGAACUUGGAUCACCCUUCCUGUUGUUAUUCUUACUUCUUUUUCAGGUAGAUUUUUUAUCUCCUCUUGAUUUAGUUGAUUUAGGUCUUGUUUUGUUAAUCUCGUUCCUUUCUCUGAAACAUAUUUCUCUAUUGUCUCAUUUUUUCUAAAUUUAUGUGUGGUCUUCUCACUACAGGCUACAGUGUAUUAGUUCCUCUUGUUUCUUGUGUUUGCCCUCUGGUGAAUAAGUUUGGUUUAGAGGUUUGUGCAAGCUUCCUGGUUGGAGGAACUGAUGCCUUCCCACGGAUGGGUGAAUGUGGGUCUUGUCUCACUUUUAGUCAGAGCUGUGUCACAGGGUAUGUUUAUAGGUGGCUUUGGCUCAGUACAACUUAAGGCAGCCUGUUUUGGUUUAAUGUUUGUUUGUUUGUUUGUUUUGUUUUUUAGUUUGGAUGCCUGCACUUCCUUCCCCAGUAUACGCUGCCCAUUAACCCCUCGACAGGAGGUGUGACUGAUGCAGUGACUAGAGUCUGUACUGGGUAUUAGAUAUUGAAUGGGGCUUCCUAAUUGUUCUGUGGUUGUCACAGCCUCAUAAUUGGAAGUGUCUGCCCUGUAGUUGCUGGAGUAGAAACCCCCAGAUCUGUUUCUGAUCAGCAUUUCUGAUCUGUGAUGCAAGGUAGGAGGGAUUUCAGCACUCCCAAUGGAAGAGGAGCCAAUGCGUGUUCCUCCACUGGGGCUGCUCACUAGUGAGUGUGCUCUGUUGUGCCUACCUUUCACCCAUUGUCUGGGUGCACAAAGUCCACCGCUGUUGGCACUGUUCUCAGCAUGCCUUGACAAUAAGUAUGUUGGUAAUUGGCCCUGGUGUCUCAGGCUUUGUUUUCACCAAGCCACUAGUUGGUGGCCAAGGUCAGGACCCAGGGCUGUAGUAUUUGUGCACUUGGGCCACCUGUGGGAACCAUGGAGUCAGCUCAGACACCGGCCUGGUCCAACCCCCACAUGGACACACCCACAAAACCCAUGACAGCUAUAGUCAGACCUCUUUCAUCUGCAGGAGCACUCGUCCAUUCAGAACUCCAUGAGCACUGAACAGUUUAUAAGGCCAGCAGUGGAGGUGUAAAUCUACAGUUCACAGAGCCAGGAAAAGAGGUUUCAGCUCUUUCUUCUUAGUUGUAGGGCCCCUGGAACUCAGCUAUGGUUUCAGCUCCACUUCUAUAUGUGAGCAACCUACCAGAAACUCCUCUUGAGGUAGAAGGUGCACAGUGGUGCCAGGCAGUGACUGGUGUGUGGGAAGGUGGGGUAGGAUGCCAUUGUGUGCACAAGGGACUUUUCUGGCAGGAUGAGGGUAGGGCAGCAACUGCAGUGUACAUGAGCUUGUUCUGGGUAGGCAGGCCAGGACUGUGAUAGGGUGUGUAGUCUAGCUCAAGCAGCAGCCUCCCCCAGAGCCUACAGAGACAGGGGACUGUGUGGGGAAGGAGGCUGUAAUGGCAGCCCCACACUUCACAUGCCACCUAAAUGGGCUUAUUCUUUAGAGGAAUCAGAUUGGAGGGAGAAAAUCUGAAAUCCUCAAUGGUCAGAUCUUCCCUCUCAGCCCAGAUAGAGAAUAUUUAUAUCCUUCUUGUCUGCCAAGUAAACUCUAUGCCUCAAACAAGUUUGAAAAAAAAAAAAUCAUUAUAACAGAUAUAAUGUAAGAAAUAGUGAGAAAAAAUUAAACCCUCCAGUGUGAUAUAUGACAACAUUACUUUCAUUAAAAAAGCAGUGGCAGGAGGAAUCCAUAUCACAGAAUAAGAGAUCACGGAGCUCACCUCUCCCCACAAAUACAGCAAGAAUACAUCUACAAGCGGAACGGUCUUCACAGGUCACCUACGGAACAAUGGCAGGAGAGCUCAACCACCUGGAAGGACAAGAGAAAUCUCUGCAUAACCGGGUAGGAUGAAAGAGAUUAAAAAAAAAAAAGGCAGAGGAGGAUCAGGACCCGUGUCCCAGGGAGGAAGCUGCAGGAAAGGGGAGGUUGAUGCGUCUGGGGGAGUCCUCUGACCAGUGAGCAGAGCAGCUGGGACAGCAAAGGAACUUUAGAUGCUCAGAGAAAAGCACAAUUGCUGGGGCAGAAGGAGAAGUGGCUGUUCCACAUAUUUCAAUAUAUUUUUGUAUAAAACACCCAUGUGUGGAGGCAGAAGGAGAAGUGGCUGUUCCACAUAUUUCAAUAUAUUUUCCAAUUUUUUGCUUUGUCUUGCCAUUAGUUCUAAGGUCAGAGCUUUCGUUUAUGUGUUUUUAGGUUUCUGCAGGGUGAAUGGUCUUUCUUCCCAUCAUUAUCUCUCCAUGCUGUAUUUUAGUUGUUGCUUAUUUUGCUCUAUUAAAUCAUUUUCCCUGCCUCUGUCUAUGCUUUUAAAAAUCUGUUGAAAACUUGCAUUUCCUAUUCUGCUUAUAUACCUAUAUUAAUACCUUUCAGAUUUUACUAUCAGUAGGUUUUGGGCGGGAGAGCUUAAAACAUACAGAAAUGUUUAGUUAUCUUAAAAGGAAACUAUCUAAUAAGCUAAAUUUGGUAAAAUAUAGUCCUAAACUUUUGAGGGUAAAAUGAUUUCAGAUUUUCCUUAUUUUUUUUAAAGUUAGAAGUAAUGUGUUAUCUGAGGCAGAUAGUACAUACUUUCAAAGGAAUAAAUUAUCUAAGUAUUUCUAGGAAUAUGCACUGGAUUACAAGUCUCCCUUUCCAUAUGCUAUCAUUUAUAUAUAGAAGCAUAAAUUCCAUACAUUUGAAAUAGCCAGAUGGCAACUCUUCUUUUCAUUACUGAAAUGAAAUAGGGAAUACAAGCAUUCCCUGGUGAAAACAUACUGCAAUAUUUUGUUUUAAAACAUAUAGUUUCGAAGUGAACAUAAGCUUGCUUCUGUCUUUUUUUUAAUGUUUGUUCUCUUUUUUAGAACUAAGUCAGGCUGGGACCUGGGACCCUUUGCUGCAGUGCUUGCACCUAGAUUAAUAGCUCCUCCAGCAACAAAACGCCAAGAGACUCUAAGGGACUAAACAUAACUGCAUGCAUGUGCAGUUGCGGCAAAUUUUGCACAAGAUAAAAAAGAUCAGGGAGUUUCUGCUGUGGUGCAACAGGUUAGGGAUCUGGUGUUGUCUCUGCAGCAGCUCAAGUUACUGCUGAACCCUGGGUUAAGAAUCCUGCAUUGCCACAGCUUCAGCAGAGGUCACAGCUGUGGCUGAGAUUUGAUCUCUGGCCUGGGAACAUCCAGAUGCCACAGAUACGGACUAAAAAAGAUAAGAAACCCACCUGUCACUUCUGAGGAACCAGGAGCAAAAGCAGGGUAGUGGCACUCAUCCUGCCCACACCAAAGAGGUGGGCAGACCACCUUAGCUACCCCUCCAGUCCAACCCCUGGACCCACUGCUCCCUCACCCCAUAUGAGGAACAAGCCAGCGCCCUCCUCAGGGAGCAAGUAAGGGAACCUGUUAGUUGUUUCUGCUCCCUUGUGUUGCAGCGCAAGUCACAGUAAA